GGGGUGUGCUGAAAAUUGGGGACUUAAAGAAUGGUUCUUUUGUGUAUAACACACCCAACAGGAAUCUCAAUUCAUUGUGAUAGGGAGCACACAACUUGUAGCCUCCUUAAGAAUAAAUGCCCUACGUAU
ensembl:snoRNA